GAUGAACGCUGGCGGCGUGCCUAAUACAUGCAAGUCGAGCGAACGGACGAGAAGCUUGCUUCUCUGAUGUUAGCGGCGGACGGGUGAGUAACACGUGGAUAACCUACCUAUAAGACUGGGAUAACUUCGGGAAACCGGAGCUAAUACCGGAUAAUAUUUUGAACCGCAUGGUUCACAAGUGAAAGACGGUCUUGCUGUCACUUAUAGAUGGAUCCGCGCUGCAUUAGCUAGUUGGUAAGGUAACGGCUUACCAAGGCAACGAUGCAUAGACGACCUGAGAGGGUGAUCGCCCAAACUGGAACUGAGACACGGUCCAGACUCCUACGGGAGGCAGCAGUAGGGAAUCUUACGCAAUGCGCGAAAGCCUGACGGAGCAACGCCGCGGGAGUGAUGAAGGUCUUCGGAUCGUAGAACUCUGUUAUUAGGGAAGAACAUAUGUGUAAGUAACUGUGCACAUCUUGACGGUACCUAAUCAGAAAGCCCCGGCUAACUACGUG
rnacentral:rRNA from 1 species